rnacentral:snRNA from 1 species
GUGCUUGCUUUGGUAGCAUAUAUACUAAAAUUGUAACGAUACAGAGAUUAGCAUGGCCCCUGCCCAAGGAUGACAUGCAAAUUCGUGAAGCGUUUCAUAUUUUU